GUAGGGCGCGAGCGUUGUCCGGAUUUAUUGGGCGUAAAGAGCUCGUAGGCGGCUUGUCGCGUCGACUGUGAAAUCCCGUGGCUCAACUGCGGGUCUGCAGUCGAUACGGGCAGGCUAGAGUUCGGUAGGGGAGACUGGAAUUCCUGGUGUAGCGGUGAAAUGCGCAGAUAUCAGGAGGAACACCGGUGGCGAAGGCGGGUCUCUGGGCCGAUACUGACGCUGAGGAGCGAAAGCGUGGGGAGCGAACAGGAUUAGAUACCCUGGUAGUCCACGCUGUAAACGUUGGGCGCUAGGUGUGGGGGGCCUCUCCGGUUCUCUGUGCCGCAGCUAACGCAUUAAGCGCCCCGCCUGGGGAGUACGGCCGCAAGGCUAAA
rnacentral:rRNA from 1 species